CGUUAGCGGCGGACGGGUGAGUAACACGUGGGUAACCUACCUAUAAGACUGGGAUAACUUCGGGAAACCGGAGCUAAUACCGGAUAAUAUUUCGAACCGCAUGGUUCGAUAGUGAAAGANGGUUUUGCUAUCACUUAUAGAUGGACCUGCGCCGUAUUAGCUAGUUGGUAAGGUAACGGCUUACCAAGGCGACGAUACGUAGCCGACCUGAGAGGGUGAUCGGCCACACUGGAACUGAGACACGGUCCAGACUCCUACGGGAGGCAGCAGCA
rnacentral:rRNA from 1 species